rnacentral:rRNA from 1 species
UACAGAGGUCCCAAGCGUUGUUCGGAUUCACUGGGCGUAAAGGGUGCGUAGGCGGUCGGGUAAGUCUGAUGUGAAAUCUCACAGCUUAACUGUGAAACUGCAUUGGAUACUAUCCGGCUCGAGGAAUGGAGGGGAGACUGGAAUUCCUGGUGUAGCGGUGAAAUGCGCAGAUAUCAGGAGGAACACCGAUGGCGAAGGCAGGUCUCUGGGCCACUACUGACGCUGAGAAGCGAAAGCAUGGGGAGCGAACAGG